GAUGAACGCUAGCUACAGGCUUAACACAUGCAAGUCGAGGGGAAACGGCAUUGAGUGCUUGCACUCUUUGGACGUCGACCGGCGCACGGGUGAGUAACGCGUAUCCAACCUUCCCAUUACUGUGGGAUAACCUGCCGAAAGGCAGACUAAUACCGCAUAGUCUUCGAUGACGGCAUCAGAUUUGAAGUAAAGAUUUAUCGGUAAUGGAUGGGGAUGCGUCUGAUUAGCUUGUUGGCGGGGUAACGGCCCACCAAGGCUACGAUCAGUAGGGGUUCUGAGAGGAAGGUCCCCCACAUUGGAACUGAGACACGGUCCAAACUCCUACGGGAGGCAGCAGUGAGGAAUAUUGGUCAAUGGACGGAAGUCUGAACCAGCCAAGUAGCGUGCAGGAUGACGGCCCUAUGGGUUGUAAACUGCUUUUGUAUGGGGAUAAAGUUAGGGACGUGUCCCUAAUUGCAGGUACCAUACGAAUAAGGACCGGCUAAUUCCGUG
rnacentral:rRNA from 1 species